UACGUAGGUGACUAGCGUUGUCCGGAUUUACUGGGCGUAAAGAGCGCGCAGGCGGUCGUUCAAGUCGAGUGUGAAAGCCCCCGGCUCAACUGGGGAGGGUCACUCGAUACUGAUCGACUCGAAGGCAGGAGGAGGGUAGUGAAUUCCCGGUGUAGUGGUGAAAUGCGUAGAUAUCGGGAGGAACACCAGUGGCGAAGGCGACUACCUGGCCUGUUCUUGACGCUGAGGCGCGAAAGCUAGGGGAGCAAACGGG
rnacentral:rRNA from 1 species